rnacentral:snRNA from 9 species
UUACUUCUUCCUGGGCGGGGUCAAUCGGUGAUCAGGGUCUACCUAGCAUCUCCCAUUGAGGAGAGUGCAUGUCAUAAUUUGUGGCAGUGGAGGCUCACGUUCGCGCGGCCUCCAU